rnacentral:rRNA from 1 species
GUGGGGAAUUUUGGACAAUGGGCGCAAGCCUGAUCCAGCAAUGCCGCGUGCAGGAAGAAGGCCUUCGGGUUGUAAACUGCUUUUGUACGGAACGAAACGGUCCGGGUUAAUACCCUGGGCUAAUGACGGUACCGUAAGAAUAAGCACCGGCUAACUACGUGCCAGCAGCCGCGGUAAUACGUAGGGUGCAAGCGUUAAUCGGAAUUACUGGGCGUAAAGCGUGCGCAGGCGGUUUUGUAAGACAGGCGUGAACUCCCCGGGCUCAACCUGGGAAUUGCGCUUGGGACUGCAAGGCUGGAGUGCGGCAGAGUGGGAUGGAAUUCCGCGUGUAGCAGUGAAAUGCGUAGAUAUGCGGAGGAACACCGAUGGCGAAGGCAAUCCCCUGGGCCUGCACUGACGCUCAUGCACGAAAGCGUGGGGAGCAAACAGGAUUAGAAACCCGUGUAGUCC